GAUGAACGCUAGCGGCAGGCUUAACACAUGCAAGUCGAGGGGUAUAGGUUUUCGGACCUAGAGACCGGCGCACGGGUGCGUAACGCGUAUGCAAUCUACCUUUUGCAGAGGGAUAGCCCAGAGAAAUUUGGAUUAAUACCUCAUAGUAUAACACAAUCGCAUGAUUGAGUUAUUAAAGUUCCAACGGUAAAAGAUGAGCAUGCGUCCUAUUAGCUAGAUGGUAAGGAACGGCUUACCAUGGCUACGAUAGGUAGGGGUCCUGAGAGGGAGAUCCCCCACACUGGUACUGAGACACGGACCAGACUCCUACGGGAGGCAGCAGUGAGGAAUAUUGGACAAUGGGCGCAAGCCUGAUCCAGCCAUGCCGCGUGCAGGAAGACGCAUCUAUGGUGUGUAAACUGCUUUUGUACGGGAAGAAACACUCCCGCGUGAGGGAGCUUGACGGUACCGUAAGAAUAAGGAUCGGCUAACUCCGUGCCAGCAGCCGCGGUAA
rnacentral:rRNA from 1 species